rnacentral:lncRNA from 1 species
GCUAUUGGAGGGCCCAGGUCAGCUUCGGCUACCCAUGCUGCUUCUGGGUUGGUUUGGACUAUUUUCUCCGUGUGUUUUGUGUUUUGUUUUUUUAGCAGGAUAUCAUAUUUCUUGGCACACUCUCUGUUUGUUUGUUUGUUUAUUUGUUUUCCAGGAAGUCACAUUUGAGCAUUACCAGUGUCGGAUCACAUGCUCCUGGCAUCUCUGCUAAAGCUCAUGGUCCAGUGGCUGCAUCCAUGCAAAGUAUCCUCACCACAGGCUGGCAUGUGCUUCCACAUGCUCCUUUCCCCUUCCCAUGAUUCUGUGCUUAAGGUAUGCUAUCAUGCCAUCAUGCCCAGCUUAUACAGUUCUGGGGAUCACACCUGGGGCUAGGGUCCUCUAUGGAGUCAUUCCCCCAGAGUACAGCAGAGUAUACAGAAAACAUAUGGCCCUGGGUCUCCAACUACCAACCAGGUCAUCUCUUGGACUGUCACCUCCUUCCCUGACAGGGGCAGAGGCCCAAGUGGCCUUUGAAGCCGGAAGUAUGGGCUUCAGUCCUUGCUCUGGUGUCCUCUAGUCACCAGGCUUUAGGUAAAGGAGGCAGGUAAGAGCUACCAGCCUGGACUGAACCCCAUCCUGUGACCUUAGCAUAUUCUUUAGUGUUUUUCAGUGUGUAUAAUCUACAGUGGCUCUCAGUUCCAUGCUAGCUAACAGUGGCCACUCCUGUGUAUGCUUGAGUGGGCAGGUAUGGGUAUAGGGUUGUCUUGCCUCCCUAGUCCCAUUCUUAUACUUUCUCUACACUCUACACUCGGGCUAAGAAGAAAUUACAGCAGGGAGCAAGAGACCCACCCAGUGUACCCAGUGUAACCUCAGGGGACCAAGGGAGCCCUGGCAAAGACCCCGACAUGGAAGUCUUUCCUUCCCACAGGCACUGUGAGUACAAAACUCUGCCUACCUGGCAGCCACCUUCUAGUCACCCCCACAGACCCCAGCAACUGCUGCGCCCUGCCUCCCACAGACUGGACUGGUCUGUUCAGUCUGCGGCACUGCAGGAUGGGGGGAGCCAAGAGAAAUGGAUUGAUUCAGAGUGCUGAGUUGAGAAAUCUAAGGUCACAAUGAGUAAUGAAGACCAUUAAGUCCAUCCAAAGAGCAGCUAGGCCAAGAAAAUGCGAUUGGUGAUUGAUUGGUGAUGUCUGCUGAGGACGGAGCUAUGUAGAGUGGUCUAGGGUCCUACUAUGUAGCCCUAGCUGUCUUGGAACUUGCUACGUAGAUCAGUCUGCUUUCAAGCUCAGAGAUUCUCUUGCCUCUGCCUCUAGAGUGCUGGAAUUAAAGGUGUGCAACG